UUUCCGUAGGUGAACCUGCGGAAGGAUCAUUACUGAGUGAGGGCCCCUCGGGGUCCAACCUCCCACCCGUGUUUAACGAACCUUGUUGCUUCGGCGAGCCCGCCUCACGGCCGCCGGGGGGCAUCUGCCCCCGGGCCCGCGCCCGCCGAAGCCACCUGUGAACUCGUCUGAAGUAUGUAGUCUGAGACAAUUAUUAAAUUAAUUAAACUUUCAACAACGGAUCUCUUGGUUCCG
rnacentral:misc_RNA from 1 species